rnacentral:misc_RNA from 1 species
UCUUGCUAAAAAUAUUGAGCCCAGAAAGCAUAAAUGGGAAUAGGGGUCCCUCAUCAUAUAUAACCUUCAUGUUCCACUCCACAACUACUUCACACAAUUUGUAAUCAUUAAUUCCUUUUUGUGUAUAUACAAUUAUUAUAUUUAAUGUAUCUUAACACAAAAUAUCUAACGAUAACAUUAUAUUACCGCUUGGAAAAGCCACCUCUGCUUGCAACAUUCCACAAACUGGCCGAAGAUGCUUCUUGCCUUCAGUAGAGGCCAUUUAUGAUUUGCAUUUUAUUUUAUGACCUCAAAAUUCAAUAUCAUAUGGUACGAGGAAAACAUCUACGAAUAACAAAUCACGAAGGCAAAGCAAGACCUUAACUCUAUACGAUACCAAAAUGUAGACAACACCAAAUUCUUAUAUAUUUUUGUUUGUUUCCCUAAAAUAUUGUCUCUGAACAACAAGUGAAAUGAACAAUGAUGCAAUAUUUCCACUUGGAUUCAAACACAACAAAGAAGCUGCUGCGACGAGCACAUCACUAUGCAACCUUCAUUUUUACUUACAACUUCAAGCUGUUAGCCAUCAAACUAUCACAAACAUAUCUAUCAGGCGGCAUUUCUGUCCCCUGUCAGUUUUAAUAAAAGCUGGAAAAAACCAGAGUCGACAACCAGUUGUGAAGCGAAACACCUAGGCACUAUAUCUCUAACUCAUUUCUCAUACAUCUAUUACAAUCAGUACCAGAAAGCAAAAAAACCACGCAUGCAUGCUCACACUUCCAGCCAAAAAAAUAUAAUUUUUACUCUCACCAGGUGAUUUUCUAUGCAGUCACUGUGGGUCUGCUCGGUCUUUUCCCUUCCAUGGCAUCUUUCUUUUUUCGACAGUUAGGGCAGAGGAAGGGGCCUUCCCAUGGCUUUGAUCCAGGUGAGAAAAAAGAUCCUGUGUUUACUGAUAAACCGUCAGUAGGGGUUUGAUCUACUUGGCAUACAGCACAUCUGUAUAGCCCAGAGUUUGUGUUUGAAGGAAAAUCUUUACCCAACCUUUCUGCAAGCCUAGCAGAACCCUCUUCAAACAACUCCUCUACCACUCCUACAGCAGAAAGCUUAUUUGUUGCUUUGCUCACAAAAUUUAUAUAUUUCUUUCCAAACAGAAGUGAACUAAGCAUGUUUUGCUUCUUCCUUGGUAUAGAAGGUAAGACGGGGACAUCAGAUGGGAUAAUAUCAACAACAAGGCAUGUUGUAUCAUCCUUCAGCCCCCUUGACCUUAAAGCCUCCUGCAGAGUAAGAAAAACAAAUAUAAUAAACACAACAUUAGUGGCAAACAAAAUACAACAGUGAACAUUUACAAGAUAUCACCUUAACCACCAACUUGGCAGCAAGCUCUGCAGGUAAACCGCGACAAGACUUUGCAGCCAUGUCAGAAGAUAAUGCAUCCCAGAUACCAUCAGAAGCAAUAAUGAGCCUUCCCCCAGCACUUGAUAGCUUCACUUGCUUGACAUGUGGUAUUGGAACAAUAAACUCUCCAACAUCUGUAUCUCCAAUUGACCUAGAAAGACAUAAUCCACCUGGCCAGCAGCGCAAGGGACCAACCUGAUUGCCCCCAAAUACAUUGAGCCUUCCUACUUCACCCCCACUCGCAGUUACACGCUCCCUCUCUUCUGCAUUCUCUUCUAACCUGUGAUCAACUGUCAAUAACGAAACUACACCUCCCUGGGUGUCCAAGAUGCAUCGUGAAUCGCCCACAGAAGCAACAGUAACAGUCCACCCAUCUAUCACAACAAAUGUCACAGUUGUCCCAGAAGUUUCCCUUUUCUGCUGAAAUUCUAUGUCAGUUUUCACAAAACCGGCUACCAGUGCUCGAGGAAGGGCUUGAAGCCACUCUUCCUGACUGAUUUCUUGGGGAAUUGCACUCAAAACAUUAUCCAAUAAAUUCUCCUUUGCAAAGAUGGCAGCUGAUAUACCAUUAUGUCCAUCAAAAAUCUGUCAACAAUACCAACAUAAUGAAUCCCUAUAGAAUAUGAAUCAAAUCAACAUAAGAAUUCCUAUGGGCCUAAAAUUACUGCAAUUUUCUAAUACUUCCCCACCUGAUCACUGAGAAAAGGUAAGAAAACAAAAUUAAAGUAAAAAAAGAUAGUACCGCAAAGACAGAAAAUGAUGUUGACAUAUCCCCAGGAAUUCUCUGGCAGUCAGGUUUUAUCAGAAAGUAAUCCUCUCCCUUCUUUGCCAACGCAGCUUGUCCAUACUUCACAAACGGUUUCUCAACCUUCUCGUUCCUAAGCUCACGACCAAUCAAGGUCCCAAGUGGAACGAGAGGGGAUUCCAUCGUUGUUACUUCAGCAGUUGAAACAUGAAGAGGCCUCAACAGAUCCAGCAUUGACGAAAAGUGAUCUAAAGCCACUCCAUUUCUGGUAAUAGCCACAGGAUUUGAGCUCAGAAAAGAAAGCAAGAUAAGAAGAAGAGCCUAAUCUAGAGAGAGAAGGGUAGAGAGAGAAAGUGACGCACAGGUGUACAAGCGAUUUGAUUGGAGGAGAAAUCUAGAGAUAUGGAAACGCGGGUUUUUGUUGUGUUUU